rnacentral:rRNA from 1 species
CAUGUAGGCGGCUUAAUAAGUCGAGCGUGAAAAUGCGGGGCUCAACCCCGUAUGGCGCUGGAAACUGUUAGGCUUGAGUGCAGGAGAGGAAAGGGGAAUUCCCAGUGUAGCGGUGAAAUGCGUAGAUAUUGGGAGGAACACCAGUGGCGAAGGCGCCUUUCUGGACUGUGUCUGACGCUGAGGUGCGAAAGCCAGGGUAGCGAACG